UACGGGGGGGCAAGCGUUGUUCGGAAUUACUGGGCGUAAAGGGCUCGUAGGUGGCCAACUAAGUCACACGUGAAAUCCCUCGGCUUAACCGGGGAACUGCGUGUGAUACUGGAUGGCUUGAGUUUGGGAGAGGGAUGCGGAAUUCCAGGUGUAGCGGUGAAAUGCGUAGAUAUCUGGAGGAACACCCGUAGCGAAGGCGGCACUCUGGGCCGAUUCUGACACUGAGGAGCGAAAGCGUGGGGAGCGAACAGG
rnacentral:rRNA from 1 species